AACGAACGCUGGCGGCAGGCCUAACACAUGCAAGUCGAACGCCCUAGCAAUAGGGAGUGGCGCACGGGUGCGUAACGCGUGGGAAUAUGCCCUUCACUGCGGAAUAACGUUUGGAAACGAACGCUAAUACCGCAUAAUGACUCCGGUCCAAAGAUUUAUCGGUGAAGGAUUAAGCCCGCGUUAGAUUAGCUAGUUGGUGAGGUAAUGGCUCACCAAGGCGACGAUCUACAGCUGGUCUGAGAGGAUGAUCAGCCACACUGGGACUGAGACACGGCCCAGACUCCUACGGGAGGCAGCAGUGAGGAAUAUUGGACAAUGGGCGCAAGCCUGAUCCAGCCAUGCCGCGUGAGUGCAGAAGGCCUGGUGU
rnacentral:rRNA from 1 species